CUGAGGAUCGAACCCAGGGUCUCGCACGUGCAAGGCGAGCACCCUACCACUGAGCCACAACUCCAGCCCCCACAAGAGGUUUUCUGCGUCAGUUUUAGAAUCAACCUGGGGAGUUCACAAAACACACUGGAUCUCAUCCCUUGAGGUGUUGACUUAAUUGACUUUUUAGGGUCAAUUAUCUGUCUUCUAAGAUACCCUGAGCCCAGCUUGCAAGCUGUAGUAGAUGCCUUAGAAAACAAAGGGACAUUUGUUUAGCACAGUGGAUCCCAAACAGCCACCCCAGAAUGCCUCCCACGGGCACUGCGACACACAUCACUGGCAGCAAAAUCCCUGCUAGAGAUUUUGGCACAGCUGGACAAGGAGAGUGGAGCCAUGGGAAAACAGUACACAAGGGCUCUUGAGGGCUUCCUGCAGGUCUUUUCAGUCAUAGAUAGAGGCAGGGGGUUUUUGUCUUGUUUUUGUACUGGGGAUGGAACUCAGGGCACUCGACCACUGAGCCACAUCCUUUGGGGUUGAACCCAGGGCCUUGUGCAUGCAAGGCAAGCACUCUACCAACUGAGCUAUAUCACCAGUACCCCACCCCAACAGCCCUAUUUUGUAUUUUAUUUAGAGACAGGGUCUGAGUUGCUUAGUGCCUCACUUUUGCUAAGGCUGGUUUUGAACUCACGAUUCUCCUCCCUCCUAAGCCCCUGGGACUAUAGGCAUGUGCCAUUGCACCCAGGCAGAGACAGUUUUGAAGAAAUCUCAGUAAAGGAUCAUGCAUUUCCAAUGAUUUUUUUUUCUUUUGGUACUGGAUAUUGAACCCUGGGUGCUUUACCACUGAGUAUUUUUUUUUUUCUUUUGAGACAUGUUUCACCAAGUUGCAUAGGGCCUCACAAAAUUGCUGAGGCUGGCUUCGAAUCUGCAAUCCUCUUGCCUCAGCCUCCCAAGUGGCUGGAAUUACAGGCCAGCACCACCACGCAGGGAUCCAGUGAUUUUUAAUUGGUAAUAAAGCUGACCUAGAUCAUCAAAGACAAGUAACACUGAAGGACAGCAAGUAGCAUGGCCACUAAAAUAACAAAAAUGGAACAUCAGCAAAGAUUAGGAUGAAUGUAUAUCAAGAUUUCCAUGAAGUUGUCCAGGGUAUAAGGAAAUUUCAAGAGCAAGAAUGUCUUCCCUGCCGGAUGCAGUGGUGCAUGCUGUAAUCCCAGUGGCUGGGGAGGCUGAGACAGGAGAAUCACAGAUUCAAAGCCAGCCUCAGCAACCAUGAGGCGCUAAGCGACUCAGUGAGACCCUAUCUCUAAGAUUAAAAAAAAAAAAAAUAGGGCCAAGAGGGG
rnacentral:lncRNA from 1 species